rnacentral:rRNA from 1 species
AUUGAACGCUGGCGGCAUGCCUUACACAUGCAAGUCGAACGGUAACAGGUCUUCGGAUGCUGACGAGUGGCGAACGGGUGAGUAAUACAUCGGAACGUGCCUAGUAGUGGGGGAUAACUACUCGAAAGAGUGGCUAAUACCGCAUGAGAUCUACGGAUGAAAGCAGGGGAUCGCAAGACCUUGUGCUACUAGAGCGGCCGAUGGCAGAUUAGGUAGUUGGUGGGAUGAAAGCUUACCAAGCCGACGAUCUGUAGCUGGUCUGAGAGGACGAUCAGCCACACUGGGACUGAGACACGGCCCAGACUCCUACGGGAGGCAGCAGUGGGGAAUUUUGGACAAUGGGCGCAAGCCUGAUCCGGCAAUGCCGCGUGCAGGAUGAAGGCCUUCGGGUUGUAAACUGCUUUUGUACGGAACGAAAAGCCCUGGGUUAAUACCCUGGGGUCAUGACGGUACCGUAAGAAUAAGCACCGGCUAACUACGUGCCAGCAGCCGCCGUAACAC